GCCCGGAUGGCGGAAUCGGUAGACGCGGGGGCCUCAAAAGCCCUUGCCCUUCAGGGCGUGCGGGUUCGAGUCCCGCUCCGGGCA
rnacentral:tRNA from 1 species